GUUAUAUGGUCAAGCGAAUAAGCGCACACGGUGGAUGCCUUGGCGGUCAGAGGCGAUGAAGGACGUGGCAGCCUGCGAAAAGUGCGGGGNAGCUGGCAACAAGCAUUGAUCCCGCAAUGUCCGAAUGGGGAAACCCACUGCUUCNNGGCAGUAUCCUGCAGUGAAUACAUAGCUGCUGGAGGCAAACCCGGUNNGAACUGAAAUAUCUAAGUAACCGGAGGAAAAGAAAUCAACCGAGAUUCCCUGAGUAGUGACGAGCGAACGGGGACCAGCCCUUAAGCUGGNAUUGGUUUUAGAAGAACAGUCUGGAAAGACUGGCCAUAGACAGUGACAGCCCGGUAUUCGAAAAGACCUUUUCAGUGAAGACGAGUAAGGCGGGGCACGAGAAACCCUGUCUGAACAUGGGGNGACCAUCCUCCAAGGCUAAAUACUCCUGACCGACCGAUAGUGAACCAGUACCGUGAGGGAAAGGCGAAAAGAACCCCGGAGAGGGAGUGAAAUAGAUCCUGAAACCGUGUGCGUACAAGCAGUAGGAGCCCGCAAGGGUGACUGCGUACCUUNUGUAUAAUGGGUCAGCGACUUACUGUUCGUGGCAAGCUUAANCCGUAUAGGGAGGCGAAGGGAAACCGAGUCUGAUAAGGGCGCAUAGUCGCGGGCAGUAGACCCGAAACCGGGUGAUCUAGUCAUGCCCAGGGUGAAGGUGCCGUAACAGGUACUGGAGGCCCGAACCCACUCCCGUUGCAAAGGUAGGGGAUGAGGUGUGAUUAGGAGUGAAAAGCUAAUCGAACCCGGAGAUAGCUGGUUCUCCUCGAAAGCUAUUUAGGUAGCGCCUCGUAUGAAUCUUCUUGGGGGUAGAGCACUGUUAUGGCUAGCGGGACAUCGCGUCUUAGCAAACCAUGGCAAACUCCGAAUACCAAGACAGAAUGUACGGGAGACACACGGCGGGUGCUAACGUCCGUCGUGAAAGGGAAACAACCCAGACCCACAGCUAAGGUCCCAAAUUUCGUGCUAAGUGGAAAACGAUGUGGAAAGGCACAGACAGCCAGGAGGUUGGCUUAGAAGCAGCCACCCUUUAAAGAAAGCGUAAUAGCUCACUGGUCGAGUCGGUCUGCGCGGAAGAUUUAACGGGGCUAAGCACGAAACCGAAGCUUGGGGUGCAUAACUUUGUUAUGCGCGGUAGAGGAGCGUUCCGUAAGCCUGCGAAGGUGGCUUGAGAAGGCUGCUGGAGGUAUCGGAAGUGCGAAUGCUGACAUGAGUAACGAUAAUGCGGGUGAAAAGCCCGCACNNGCCGAAAGCCCAAGGUUUCCUUNNGCGCAACGUUAAUCGACGCAGGGUUAGUCGGUCCCUAAGGCGAGGGCGAAAGCCGUAGUCGAUGGGAAGCAGGUUAAUAUUCCUGCACCUCGCGUGAGUGCGAUGGAGGGACGGAGAAGGUUAGGUGUACCGGGCGUUGGUUGUCCCGGGGAAAGGCGGUAGGUUUGGAUCUUUGGCAAAUCCGGGAUCCUUUAAGACCGAGCACCGAGACGAGCCCUUUAGGGCGAAGUCACUGAUACCACGCUUCCAGGAAAAGCUCCUAAGCUUCAGCUCACGCAGACCGUACCGUAAACCGACACAGGUGGGUAGGAUGAGAAUUCUCAGGCGCUUGAGNAGAACUCGGGUGAAGGAACUAGGCAACAUGGCACCGUAACUUCGGGAGAAGGUGCACCCUCUUUGGUGGCCCAUGCGGGCUAUAGCUGAGGGGUCGCAGAAACCAGGCCGCUGCGACUGUUUAUCAAAAACACAGCACUCUGCAAACACGAAAGUGGACGUAUAGGGUGUGACGCCUGCCCGGUGCUGGAAGGUUAAUUGAUGGGGUCAGCCGCAAGGCGAAGCUCUUGAUCGAAGCCCCAGUAAACGGCGGCCGUAACUAUAACGGUCCUAAGGUAGCGAAAUUCCUUGUCGGGUAAGUUCCGACCUGCACGAAUGGCGUAACGACAGCGGCGCUGUCUCCACCCGAGACUCAGUGAAAUUGAAAUCGCUGUGAAGAUGCAGCGUUCCCGUGGCAAGACGGAAAGACCCCGUGAACCUUUACUAUAGCUUUACAUUGAACGUUGAGUUCGUCUGUGUAGGAUAGGUGGGAGGCUAUGAAACCGAGGCGCUAGCUUCGGCGGAGCCAACCUUGAAAUACCACCCUGAUGUGCUUGACGUUCUAACCNUAGGUCCGUAAUCCGGAUCGGGGACCAUGUAUGGUGGGUAGUUUGACUGGGGCGGUCUCCUCCCAAAGAGUAACGGAGGANGCUCGAAGGUACGCUCAGCGCGGUCGGACAUCGCGCACNUGUGUGCAAAGGCAUAAGCGUGCUUGACUGCGAGAUCGACGGAUCAAGCAGGUACGAAAGUAGGACUUAGUGAUCCGGUGGUUCUGUAUGGAAGGGCCAUCGCUCAACGGAUAAAAGGUACUCCGGGGAUAACAGGCUGAUACCGCCCAAGAGUUCAUAUCGACGGCGGUGUUUGGCACCUCGAUGUCGGCNUCAUCACAUCCUGGGGCUGUAGUCGGUCCCAAGGGUAUGGCUGUUCGCCAUUUAAAGUGGUACGCGAGCUGGGUUCAGAACGUCGUGAGACAGUUCGGUCCCUAUCUGCCAUGGGCGUUGGAAGUUUGAGAGGGGCUGCUCCUAGUACGAGAGGACCGGAGUGGACGAACCUCUGGUGUUCCGGUUGUCACGCCAGUGGCAUUGCCGGGUAGCUAUGUUCGGAAGCGAUAACCGCUGAAAGCAUCUAAGCGGGAAGCGCGCCUCAAGAUGAGACUUCCCGGGGCACAAGCCCCUAAAGGAACCAUCAAGACUAGGUGGUUGAUAGGUCAGGUGUGUAAGUGGGGCAACCCAUUGAGCUAACUGAUACUAAUGAUCCGUGCGGCUUGACCAUAUAACCUCA
rnacentral:rRNA from 1 species